rnacentral:rRNA from 1 species
GAGUGCGGCGUCUAAUACAUGCAAGUCGAGCGAAUGGAUUAAGAGCUUGCUCUUAUGAAGUUAGCGGCGGACGGGUGAGUAACACGUGGGUAACCUGCCCAUAAGACUGGGAUAACUCCGGGAAACCGGGGCUAAUACCGGAUAACAUUUUGAACCGCAUGGUUCGAAAUUGAAAGGCGGCUUCGGCUGUCACUUAUGGAUGGACCCGCGUCGCAUUAGCUAGUUGGUGAGGUAACGGCUCACCAAGGCAACGAUGCGUAGCCGACCUGAGAGGGUGAUCGGCCACACUGGGACUGAGACACGGCCCAGACUCCUACGGGAGGCAGCAGUAGGGAAUCUUCCGCAAUGGACGAAAGUCUGACGGAGCAACGCCGCGUGAGUGAUGAAGGCUUUCGGGUCGUAAAACUCUGUUGUUAGGGAAGAACAAGUGCUAGUUGAAUAAGCUGGCACCUUGACGGUACCUAACCAGAAAGCCACGGCUAACUACGUGCCAGCAGCCGCGGUAAUACGUAGGUGGCAAGCGUUAUCCGGAAUUAUUGGGCGUAAAGCGCGCGCAGGUGGUUUCUUAAGUCUGAUGUGAAAGCCCACGGCUCAACCGUGGAGGGUCAUUGGAAACUGGGAGACUUGAGUGCAGAAGAGGAAAGUGGAAUUCCAUGUGUAGCGGUGAAAUGCGUAGAGAUAUGGAGGAACACCAGUGGCGAAGGCGACUUUCUGGUCUGUAACUGACACUGAGGCGCGAAAGCUGACCCCC